GUGUGCAUCAAAAAAAAAAAAAAAAAAGAAAGAAAAAAGCACAAAAUAGGCACAGUGCGAACGAAGAAUGUGCAGAGAGCAAAAGCAGCAGCAGCAGCAGCAGCAGCAGCAGCAAAGCGCAAAGUAGAAAAUGCAACAUAAAGCAAACGCCAAAGCAAUUGCAGCUGAAUGCAAUGCUAAGAAGAGGAGCGCAGCGAACGACAGCGACAAUCCGGGAGGUAACCGGGCGAGACAAGCAGCCGUAUAUCAUGUACACAAAACAAACAGUAGAUAAAAGCUGCAAGCACUUGUCUUUGUGUAAAUUGAUAGAUGAUUAAUGCUGCAAUCAGUUCAUAUAAUGGAGGCCCAUCAAUCAAACCAGGCUGCUAAUAUAGCUAUCGUUGAAAUUAAUUACAAAAAAAAACCCGAUAUCUUGACCAGACUCAACAAUUUUAAGUCCAAUUUUGCCUAUAUUUUAAUUAAAAGUAUUUUCUUUACAUUUUUAUUGCUUUUUUUUUUUAAACUUUCUCAAGUAGAACCGUUUUGCUUUGGUUUUAUAUAUGUAUGUAUAUAGUUUUGAAUACUUCAUAACUUGUUUCUUGUAGUUAGACAAUUAUUUCUGGUACUUAACUUUGCGUGUUUGUGUAGAAGAGUUCUUGAAAUGAAUCAAAUAAGAAACUCAAAUAAUUCUGCUUGUCCAGUCAGAAUCAAUAUGUAUGUUUGUCUAACUGUCAGUUCUUACCCAAAAGUUGAGAGCGUGCCAAGUGUAAAUGAUUUAAGUGACUAGGUAACAACAACAACAGCAGCAGCAGCAGCAGCAGAAAUCUAAACAACAAAGCAAUGCCUGAGCUUGAGCUUUGUGCAAAGCCCCGAACCAAGUCAACAGAAUAUGAAAGGUAGAACGAGAGGGCGAGAGAGAAGAGCAAGCGAGUGAGAAACGCAAGGCACGGGCGUAAAAAUAUAAAUUCAAAUCUGUCUCUUUUCAAGUGCAGCGAAGCGGCGACGGCGACGGCGACGGCAACGGCGACGUCGCCUUAAAAGUAAUCACAAUUGAAUUUUAUAGACGGCGGGGCCAGACGCAACUGCACAUAAUAUGUAUGACAAACACAAUACACAAUAUAAAAGUUUCUGCAGUUUUGUUGGCUGGCAUUUUGAUAAGAAUGAAUCUCUGACAACGCCUUGCUAAAGUUUGCCAAGCGGAAGUGAUUAAGGCAAAAGGGUUGCCAAAAAUUGAUUCUUAAAAAAAAAAAAGUAAAUCAACACAAUAAGUCGUGCGCAUUGCUGCCCACGCCAAUUAGAAAAAUAUACAUAAAUACCAACUGGCAAAGGGCAGUGUUGUACAAUGCCAAAACAGGCAAGUCGCACAAUUGCACACACACACAUACUAUUAAAAAUUUGAGAGCAGAGAGCGGCUUGCGCAAGAGAGCAAAAAGCAAAAUCCAAAGGCGCGCGUAAACGGCGACUGUUCCAAGAAUGCAAGGCACAAAAGGAGGCAAAUAACAACAAAAAGAAGAAAACAAAGAGCGCUAAGGCAAAGUAAAACGUGAGAAGCAAAUAAGAAAAUAAUGCGACGCCGCCGCCACCGCUGCCGUUGCCAUACAAAAAUCAAUUUCAAGCGGCGGGGGAACAGACGGGAUUAUUUACAUACAAAUGACCGCCCGCUGCCGCCGCGUUUCAAUAUGCAAAUUAUUGUCAAAGGGCUUAAAGAAAUAUAAUUUUCAAUAAGCGCAACAACAACAACAAGUUGUGGGCAUUUAUUCGCAGCUAAGAGUCAUUAUUGAAU